GAUGAACGCUGGCGGCGUGCCUAAUACAUGCAAGUCGAACGCAUUGUGGUUGAAAUGAUAUGAAGAACUUGUUCAGAUUUGAUUUUCAACAUUGCAACGAGUGGCGAACGAGUGAGUAACACGUGGGAAACCUACCUCUUAGCAGGGGAUAACAUUUGGAAACAAAUGCUAAUACCGUAUAAUAAUUAAAAACCGCAUGGUUUUAGUUUAAAAGAUGGUCUUGCUAUCACUAAGAGAUGGUCCCGCGGUGUAUUAGUUAGUUGGUGAGGUAAUGGCUCACCAAGACAAUGAUACAUAGCCGAGUUGAGAGACUGACCGGCCACAAUGGGACUGAGACACGGCCCAUACUCCUACGGGAGGCAGCAAGUAGGGAAAGUCUUCCUACCAAAUAGGACGAAAGUACUGAUGGAGCAACGCCGCGUGUGUGAUGAA
rnacentral:rRNA from 1 species